AUUGAACGCUGGCGGCAGGCCUAACACAUGCAAGUCGAGCGGAUGAGGAAAGUUUGCUUUUCGAUUCAGCGGCGGACGGGUGAGUAAUGCCUAGGAAUCUGCCUGUUAGUGGGGGAUAACUCGGGGAAACUCGGGCUAAUACCGCAUACGUCCUACGGGAGAAAGUGGGGGAUCUUCGGACCUCACGCUAACAGAUGAGCCUAGGUCGGAUUAGCUAGUAGGUGAGGUAAUGGAUCACCUAGGCGACGAUCCGUAACUGGUCUGAGAGGAUGAUCAGUCACACUGGAACUGAGACACGGUCCAGACUCCUACGGGAGGCAGCAGUGGGGAAUAUUGGACAAUGGGCGAAAGCCUGAUCCAGCCAUGCCGCGUGUGUGAAGAAGGUCUUCGGAUUGUAAGCACUUUAAGUUGGGAGGAAGGGUAUUCACCUAAUACGUGGGUACUUUGACGUUACCAACAGAAUAAGCACCGGCUAACUCUGUGCCAGCCGCCGCAGUAAGAC
rnacentral:rRNA from 1 species